UACGAAGGGGGGCUAGCGUUGCUCGGAAUUACUGGGCGUAAAGCGCCGUGUAGGCGGUUCGGUAAGUCCGCUGUGAAAGUCGGGGGCUCAACCCUCGAAUGCCGGUGGAUACUGUCGAACUAGAGUGCGGAAGAGGCGAGUGGAAUUCCUGGUGUAGCGGUGAAAUGCGCAGAUAUCAGGAGGAACACCAAUUGCGAAGGCAGCUCGCUGGGACGUAACUGACGCUGAGACGCGAAAGCGUGGGGAGCAAACGG
rnacentral:rRNA from 1 species